UGGUAGCCUCGUUUUCAAACACAAAUCGCCAUCUUGGCGGCCAUAUUUGACGAAGACAAUGAUAGUCUUCUAACAAUGAGAAUGAGCUAAUUUUACAACGAUUUGUAGCUGUAAUCGUUCCUUUUCAAGAGUAAUUACUUAGAACUAAAGUACAAUUACGUGAUUUUUAUGCUGACGAAGCCAAAAUCGUUAAGAUUGAAUUGGACUGAUACACAGUUUUUCCACCAGCAUGGAUAGUGAUACAGCAUCACGUUUUGUGAGCUCAUUGGUAAAAUCCAUCCAGGCAUUGUGCAAUGGUUACAUUGAUUUCUCUACCAGCAUUGAAGUGGUCGGCCAUAUCCAUUUGCGAAUAGACCACAAUCACAAGUUUAACUAUGUGCUUAGUGAGGAAGUGAGUAAAUCUGUUAAUGAGGGCUCAACUAUAUUUUCCAGCCAUAGCUAUCACUCGUUGCCCCCACCAAGUGCACCACCCACAAAACUAGCACCCACUUCCACAGGAGGACCCUCUUCGAGGCGUAAAUCCAGUCAUCCUUUGCCAAGACAAGAAGAGACUGAUCCUAUGCCAGUGUCUUUGCCACCAGAAGUACCAUCAAGGUCCAAAGAACUUGUGUCAGAUCGUUUAAGUGAAAGCGGUGACUCAUCACAUUCAUUAAGUAUGGUUGUGUUUCCUGAAAUUGAUGAGCUGACUGGUUCAGGGAAACCUCAUUCAAACACUAGUGGUGGGAGAACACGGACAAUAUCUCACACACAGGACACGCUCGACCGACGACGAAAGUCAGAAACUCAUGCACCUAGAAGUGUGGAUUCUCCAGCAAAAAGAAGUAGAGACGAGGAGAGUGGUUCAGUGCAAAAGACAGAAUUUGAAGUGAUAGAAAUAAAAGAGGAGCCAGGACUUGAUGAACCCAGUUGUGCCUUUAGUGAAAGUAACCAGUUACCAUCACAUCAAGCAGGGAUGGGUCAUACUCCUGAUUUCUCAAACUGUGUAAUGGAAAGUCUUGACCGAGUAGGACAGAUCGAGGGUACCUCACUUCUCAGUGCAUCAGAUGGACAACAGCUUCACUUAGCAUCACAUCAAGGACAGUCAGACCAGCCCUUCCCAGUCAUGCUUCAUGCAAACCCUUCUGUUCAGGCUCCCGGAGGAGUCCUCACUCUUCCAGGGCCUUCAAAUUCACAAGCAACAGCAUCUACAACUCCUGGAGACGAGGACGGUGAGAAGGCAGUUUUGGUAGAUCCAGGGAAUACAUUUAGCAGCCAAGCAGUCACUUCACAUUUUGGGAACUGGAAAUACCACUAUUCUCAGUCCACCAUGUCCAUGGCAGUAGACAUGGUUCUUCAAGGGGUGCCACUGCGUAGAGUGGCAAAAUAUUUUCAUGUUCCUCGCACCUCUUUACAGAGAAGUGUGCGGAGAGCUCAAUUGCAAAAUGAAACUCUUGAACCAGUAAUGAUAACUAAAGUGAGUCAAAUACAGCAUUCUAGGCAAAAGAUGUCAGGACCUAUUCAUGCCUCAAGGAAGUUUCAAAUGACUAUUGUACCAGAACGGGAAUGGGCCAUGUCUUCAUCAUUUGAGACAGAAUCAGCAGAUGAAGUGGAAUUUGUAUCUGAAUCAACCACUUUACAUUCCUCAGAAGUGUCUUUUGGUUCAAAAGCCUCUCACAAAGGUUCUUCAGAAGCAGAUGUACUCUAAGUCUGACAACUCUUGCUGAAGAGAGUAACAGUGCAAAGAAUGAGCAUAAUCGUGCAGAGGGAACAAAGGAUGGGUAACCUAGACAGUGCAGGGAUCUAACAUUUGCCUACGGAGCUGUUGGCUGGGGAAGGUACACACACGCCUAUAGCGUCGGCAUAGUCCCCUCUCCUUAUAGGCAGUACUCUUCAACCGCCCUGGCCAGUGCCAUAGACAUGGUCAAGAAAGGCUUUUCCACCCGCAAGGUGGCUGCCAUUACAGGAGUUCCCAGGACCACAAUACGCAGGCAAUAUUUGAUGUUGCUUAACAGAACUGAAACAUUACCUACCUCUCGUGGUCGAGGUAAAGGUCGCCAAGACCGCGAUACCCAGAGCACCCAGGACUAGGUGCAGAUGUUGUCUGCUGUGGAUUAUUGCAGAAGACAAAGAUUUUGAAAAUGAUUGCCCCUCAGUGUUGCCGUUUAGUAAAGUGGCAUUCGUUUAUGCUUCUUCACAUAUAUAUUCUAUACUUUGUUGGGUUCCAGCUGUUUGUGAUUGUUUCUGGUUGGUUCUGUGUGAAUGUAUAAAUUUGGCACCAUGCAAAGCCUUAGACAGUUAAGUUUAAUUUUCUGUCAUAGGACUGGAGAUGUUUCCAAAAUGUGACAUCUUCAAAUAAAGAAAAAAAAAAUAUAAAGAUAAUGAAACUAAGCUUGUUGGCAUAGAUUUGAUAGUUCUGGUGUAUGGAGGACUCCAGAUCACUGCACUGUGUGUCGUAACUUUUUAAACCAUGGUCACGUUUGGCUCUGUUGAACAUUUGUGAAAGAAUCUUGGCAUUGUUUUGUGAGAUCUUUCAAAUCUCUCACUCUAUGGCUGUUCAUGUUGUUCGUCAUUUUGCAUAUUAUGUGCCUUGACUGGAUUUGGAAAUCACAGGAAAACGUGAAUUGUGACUUGUUAAGACAACAACUGUUUGGAAUCUUUGCAUUUGGUUUUGUGAUACUUGUCUUCAAGGUGAUCCACUCAUGCAUUCACCCAAAAGGUGUGCAUUACAGAAGGUCCAUGUUGCAGAAGAAAAAGGUACUUUAGUACGAUUCCAGUUUAACACUCUGCACCCCCUCCUGACACUCUUCAGUCUUGUUCUGUGUGUGUUCCAGACAUGUUGGGCACAAGGACAGGAAUACUUCCACCCCAUUUCAUGUCUACCAGACAAUACUACAGUAAGCAAAGGAAAUAUACCACCUCAUCAUUGUUGAUGGCGAUGGAAAUGGUGCGCAAAGGUGUAUCUCUGCGAAUGGCUUCAAACAUGUGCAGGGUUCCCUUCUCCACACUCAGACACAGGGUCAUCAAUGCCAAAACAUACGAAGUGUUGCCACAUCAGCAGCAAGAUGUGGUGGAGUCCCUUGAGGGGAGGCUCACUGAUAAUUUGGAGGAAAAAAACCAGGAGUUGGGAGACAGCUAGAAGUCAUUGCUGUUGAGGUGUCGAGGUCAUUGCCCGUUCCACAUGAGUAUGAUUGCCUUCCUUAUAGUAACAUGGCUGUGUGUGCCUUUGCACUGUGGUAUGUGUCUGUGUGUGAUAAUAAGCAUUCUCUCAUGCUAAUUUCUUUUACCUACAUGCUGUUCUGAUUUUCCUUUAAGUUGGUUAAGUCACUUGUUAUUUGAUUUUAUAUAUUUUGCAACAUAAAGAUUACAUAAAAUCAAACUUAUUAGGGAAAGCGAAAGAAAUAAUUAAGAACCGUCUCUAAUUAAAGGGAUUUUUGAAGUCAUUAAUUAUGGAGUUGUUUACUUUUAAAUUGAAGAAUACUAGUGAAUUUGUACAAUUUUAUAAAGAAACUUUAUAUCUGAUCCAUGUUUGUUUCAGGGAUAAAAACUUUUUGUGUUAUAAAAAUUGAGGGGAUGAAAGUUUGUGAUUUAUGCUUGUGAAAAUGUAACUUUAAGGUGUCUACUUUUGUUCAAGCUGGCAGAAUGGUUCUUAUUACUAUUAGGUUAAAAGGAAAUGAUGGCUUUCUUUUUGUCUUACAAAUGUGUGCAUGUAAACUGUAAAAUACAGUUUUAUCUUAACAGUAAUAAAGUUCUCUUUAGUAAAAU